GUCAGAUGAUUUGAAUCAGUAUGCUGAUGAUCUGUGAGGUACAACAGUAAAUAGCAUGUUAGAGUUCUGAUGGCA
ensembl:snoRNA SNORD28 Small nucleolar RNA SNORD28